rnacentral:rRNA from 1 species
ACGAUGACGUUCCCUUCGGGGAGCUGAUUAGUGGCGAACGGGUGAGGAACACGUGAAGAAUCUGCCCUCCACUUUGGGAUAACUCCGGGAAACCGGGGCUAAUACCGAAUAUUGAAGCAUAAGCGGCAUCGCUGAGCUUUGAAAGAAUUUCGGUGGAGGAUGACUUCGCGGCCUAUCAGCUUGUUGGUGAGGUAAUGGCUCACCAAGGCUACGACGGGUAUCCGGCCUGAGAGGGCGACCGGACACACUGGGACUGAGACACGGCCCAGACUCCUACGGGAGGCAGCAGUGGGGAAUAUUGGGCAAUGGACGCAAGUCUGACCCAGCGACGCCGCGUGAGGGAUGAAGGCCUUCGGGUUGUAAACCUCUUUCAGUAGGGAAGAAGCGAAAGUGACGGUACCUACAAAAGAAGCACCGGCUAACUAUGUGCCAGCAGCCGCGGUAAUACAUAGGGUGCAAGCGUUGUCCGGAUUUAUUGGGCGUAAAGAACUCGUAGGUGGUUUGUUACGUCGGAUGUGAAACUCUGGGGCUCAACCCCAGACCUGCAUCCGAUACGGGCAGACUAGAGUGUGGUAGGGGAGACUGGAAUUCCUGGUGUAGCGGUGGAAUGCGCAGAUAUCAGGAGGAACACCAAUGGCGAAGGCAGGUCUCUGGGCCAUUACUGACACUGAGGAGUGAAAGUGUGGGGAGCGAACAGGAUUAGAUACCCUGGUAGUCCACACCGUAAACGAUGGACGCUAGUUGUGGGGACCUUCCACGGUUUCUGCGACGCAGCU